UAUUGGGUCAGAGUCAUCAGCCAUUGUUAGCGGUUGCUGCAUCUUCAAGAUUCACACCCUUUUUGGGUCAUCUUGUUGGGGUCUCCUGGCUCCAACCCCCUUGACAUUUGAGAAUCUUGAUGAUGCUGCAGUCGCCAUCAAUGGCUCUAUAACACCCUUCUUCAAUUUUGAGUGCUUUUGUUAUGUUAAGGGUUGUUGUGCACAUUUUUUGAUCUUUCUCAUGGUGGAGGCCUAGAAAUGUGUCUACUUUCCUACCCAUUUGGUAGCAUAAGAGAAGAGAAAUAAAAUAAGUUGAUUAAUGUGUUGCUUUUUCAGGUUCUUUUGUUACCUCCAUCAUCAUCAUCAUCACCAUCAGCCUUACACCAUUUUGAUUUGUUCAUGGUUGGGUAAGUGUAAGCUUUUCAGAUAUAUUUGCAGGGUUUCACCAGGUUUUAGCAAAAAGAGAUGAAUGAUGAUGUUGUGUGGCGAGUGAGUUCAUAUGGAUCUGCCACUUAUGGACCCCAGCUCAUGAACAAACCCCUUUUUUUUACUUGCUGAAAAUUUCAUGAAAAGCUCAUAAAGUUUGUAUCUUUUGGCUGCAUUAAAUGCUCACAUAGCUGCUUUGAGAUGAUCAUGAAUAUAUUGUAUGAAAAUCAUAUGAAUGGACUAAUUUAUGGA